CGGGACGUGGCGCAGCCUGGUAGCGCACCUGAAUGGGGUUCAGGGGGUCAGGAGUUCGAAUCUCCUCGUCCCGACCA
rnacentral:tRNA from 1 species